rnacentral:rRNA from 1 species
AUUGAACGCUGGCGGCAGGCCUAACACAUGCAAGUCGAGCGGAUGAAGGGAGCUUGCUCCUGGAUUCAGCGUCGGACGGGUGAGUAAUGCCUAGGAAUCUGCCUGGUAGUGGGGGAUAACGUCCGGAAACGGGCGCUAAUAACGCAUACGUCCUGAGGGAGAAAGUGGGGGAUCUUCGGACCUCACGCUAUCAGAUGAGCCUAGGUCGGAUUAGCUAGUUGGUGGGGUAAAGGCCUACCAAGGCGACGAUCCGUAACUGGUCUGAGAGGAUGAUCAGUCACACUGGAACUGAGACACGGUCCAGACUCCUACGGGAGGCAGCAGUGGGGAAUAUUGGACAAUGGGCGAAAGCCUGAUCCAGCCAUGCCGCGUGUGUGAAGAAGGUCUUCGGAUUGUAAAGCACUUUAAGUUGGGAGGAAGGGCAGUAAGUUAAUACCUUGCUGUUUUGACGUUACCAACAGAAUAAGCACCGGCUAACUUCGUG